rnacentral:rRNA from 1 species
UACGGGAGGCAGCAGUGGGGAAUAUUGGACAAUGGGCGAAAGCCUGAUCCAGCAAUGCCGCGUGAGUGAUGAAGGCCCUAGGGUUGUAAAGCUCUUUUACCCGGGAAGAUAAUGACUGUACCGGGAGAAUAAGCCCCGGCUAACUCCGUGCCAGCAGCCGCGGUAAU